rnacentral:lncRNA from 1 species
AUGGACCCACUCGUGCUGGUUCUCAUUUUCACCUAUUUACUAGCAGUGCACUACCAUCCUAAUUUUCCUUUAUUGGAGAAAGCUCAGAAAUUUCUCUGAAGCUUAGGAUCCCCUUACUCUACCAAUUACUCAUCCAAAGAUUGGACAAGCAUAGAGGCAGAAUUGCAUAUUUUCUAUCAAUGGGACCCUAAUCUAAAUGAAAUAAGCCUACACAUAGCCUUCUUACAAAAGUAAAGCAAAAUUUUACUGAUAUCUACAAAGAGACUCCAAUUUUUGACCCAUCUUUACUAAUAUUGCUUUAAGGGGAAUAGCCACUAUUUGUGUUAUGACCAAGGAAUAAAAUGGAAUGAAUGUAGGCACUCUUGUAAGUACAGUUUGUAAAUAAUAUUACUUUCACUGUAGAUCCUAACCAGCAGUCUUACCAAGUAUACACCCACUACCAAUUCUGCCAUCAAAUAAGAUUUUCCAAACAUCCAAAUAUUACUUUUCCUCAGGAAACUUUACUAGAUAAAUCAACCAAGUUUUGCCAGGGACACCUAAGCUCAUGCUGUGCUCAAAAUUUCUGGUUCCAGCCUGCUGAUUACACCCAGUGUCUGCAAAUUGCCAACCUCAGCUUUACAGCAGAAUGGACUCUAUUGGACCACACUAAAAUUUCUCUAUUUGGGGAGAAUAAAAACAAGAGAGCUAACCAGAGCCAAACACCAUACACACAAGUCUUCACAGGCAUGACUACAGCCACGAGCUACCCAGCCAUGUUGGCAAACUAGGGAUUUUAUGGAACUAUACUCAGGCCCUUAUUUUGUUUUGACAUCUCGACUUGUCUUGAAACCCAAGGAGUCUUUUAUAUUUGCGGCCAAUCUGUUCUCCAAUACCUCCCCAAUAACUUGACUGAAACUUGUACCCUAGGCUAUGUAUCCCCAGAUAUCUUCAUAGUCCCUGACAAUCUCUCUCUUAACAAUGCCAACCUACAAGUUUUCCACCCUGCCCAAGGUAACAAGGACUAUCCAAUUAAUUCUCCUUUUUGUGAGACUAAACAUUAUAGCCACUAAAGAAACUGGAAUUGCCAGAGUCAAUAAAGCCUCUUUGUUUUAUAGCCAAGUCCCAAAUGAAAUAGCCAAUAACAUUGACACCAUGGCUAAAACCUUAACAGUCAUGCAAAAACGAAUCAACUCUAACAGCCAUAGUCCUCCAAAAUUUUCAAGGACUCAAUAUGUUAAUGGCAGCACAGCGAGAAAUUUGUUUAGCCUUAGAUGAAAAACGUUGCUUUUAGGUAAACAAAUUGGGAAAAGUAAAAGAUAACACUAAACAUCUCAUAAAUCAAGCCUCUCAUUUAUGGAAACAAGCCUCUCAUUUAUGGAAACAAGCCUCUCAGUGUUGUUUAAACUGGGAAGAAACCUGGAAAUGGUUCUACUGUGUUCUUUCCUCCUUAGACCCACUUGUUAGUGUCCUACUUUUGCUCCUUUUUGGACCAUGUCUUUGAAAUAUAAUAACUCAAUUUGUCUCUUCUCACCUUCAGGCCAUCAAGCUCCAGGUAAUCCUCAGUGAGGAAUACCAUUUUCUCAACAUUCAAGAGUCACACUUCUACAGAGAACCC